rnacentral:rRNA from 1 species
GCGUAGUCGAUGGGAACCAGGUUAAUAUUCCUGGGCCAGCGGGUAGUGACGGAUUGCGGACGUUGUACACUCUUACUGGAUUGAGUGUGCAGCCAUGCCGUCCCUGGAAAUAGCUCCCGCAUGAGACCGUACCCCAAACCGACACAGGUGGACUGGUAGAGAAUACCAAGGCGCUUGAGAGAACUCUGUUGAAGGAACUCGGCAAAUUACUCCCGUAAGUUCGCGAGAAGGGAGCCUGGCAUCAGGCAACUGGUGUCCAGGGGCACAGACCAGGGGGUGGCGACUGUUUAUUAAAAACACAGGGCUCUGCGAAGUCGUAAGACGACGUAUAGGGUCUGACGCCUGCCCGGUGCCUGAAGGUUAAAAGGAGGGGUGAG